rnacentral:rRNA from 1 species
AGGGUUUGAUCAUGGCUCAGAUUGAACGCUGGCGGCAUGCCUAACACAUGCAAGUCGAACGGCAGCACGUUCGCCUUAGCCUUCGGGCGACGGCGAAUGGUGGCGAGUGGCGAACGGGUGAGUAACGCGUAGGGAUCUACCCCAAAGCGGGGGACAACCCGAGGAAACUCGGGCUAAUACCGCAUAAUCUCUUAGGAGCAAAGGGUGCGACUAUUUAUAGGCAUUCACUUUGGGAUGAACCUGCGUCCGAUUAGCUAGUUGGUAAGGUAAAGGCUUACCAAGGCGACGAUCGGUAGCUGGUCUGAGAGGACGAUCAGCCACACUGGGACUGAGACACGGCCCAGACUCCUACGGGAGGCAGCAGUGGGGAAUAUUGGACAAUGGGGGCAACCCUGAUCCAGCAAUGCCGCGUGUGUGAAGAAGGCCUGCGGGUUGUAAAGCACUUUCAAUGGGGAGGAAGGGUAAUGUGUUAAUAGCACAUUACAUUGACGUUACCCAUAGAAGAAGCACCGGCUAACUCUGUGCCAGCAGCCGCGGUAAUACAGAGGGUGCAAGCGUUAAUCGGAAUUACUGGGCGUAAAGGGUGCGUAGGUGGAUUAUCAAGUUGGAUGUGAAAGCCCCGGGCUCAACCUGGGAUGGUCAUUCAAAACUGUUAGUCUAGAGUACAGUAGAGGAUAGUGGAAUUUUCAGUGUAGCGGUGAAAUGCGUAGAUAUCGAAAGGAACAUCAAUGGCGAAGGCAGCUAUCUGGGCUGAUACUGACACUGAGGCACGAAAGCGUGGGUAGCAAACAGGAUUAGAUACCCUGGUAGUCCACGCCGUAAACGAUGAAAACUAGCCGUUGGGCAUUUUAAAUGGUUUAGUGGCGCAGCUAACGCGUUAAGUUUUCCGCCUGGGGAGUACGGCCGCAAGGUUA